GCCACAGUAGCUCAGGGGUAGAGCACUCGAUUCGUAAUCGAGCGGUCGUGAGUUCAAUUCUCACCUGUGGCU
rnacentral:tRNA from 2 species